CACGAGCGGCGAACGGGUGAGUAACACGUGGGUGACCUGCCCCUUACUCUGGGAUAAGCCUGGGAAACUGGGUCUAAUACCGGAUAUGACUCAUGAUCGCAUGGUUGUGGGUGGAAAGAUUUUUGGUGGGGGAUGGGCCCGCGGCCUAUCAGCUUGUUGGUGGGGUGAUGGCCUACCAAGGCGACGACGGGUAGCCGGCCUGAGAGGGCGACCGGCCACACUGGGACUGAGACACGGCCCAG
rnacentral:rRNA from 1 species